rnacentral:rRNA from 1 species
AGAGCGAACGCUGGCGGCAGGCCUAACACAUGCAAGUCGAACGGACUCUUCGGGGUUAGUGGCGGACGGGUGAGUAACACGUGGGAACGUGCCUUUAGGUUCGGAAUAGCUCCUGGAAACGGGUGGUAAUGCCGAAUGUGCCCGUUCGGGGGAAAGAUUUAUCGCCUUUAGAGCGGCCCGCGUCUGAUUAGCUAGUUGGUGAGGUAAAGGCUCACCAAGGCUACGA